CAAAAAAGCAAAACACAUUAAUUAACCUCUAACUUCAUCGUAUCAAUCUCAAUUCCUUCCAGAAUCCAAAAGCCCAAAAAAAAUGAGUUUCCGCGGCACCACCACACUCCUCUCACGCGCCACCAGAAUCCAAACAAAACUCCAAUCAUCCCUCUCCGCCACCGUCAUAGAACUCGACGACGUGUCCUAUCAACACGCUGGUCACGCAGCAAUGAAAGAAUCAUCUGAGCAAGAAACCCAUUUCAAUUUGAAAAUCGUUUCGGAGAAAUUCGAAGGCGUUAAUCUUGUUAAACGACAUCGUAUGGUUUAUGAAGUUCUUGAUGAUGAGUUGAAAUCUGGGCUUCAUGCUCUUUCCAUUAUUGCGAAGACUCCGAAGGAAAUUACCCCUGAAGUGAAAUGAUACGGUUAUUGCAGUGACUAGUCAAAGUGAUUUAUUUUGGAGUACUAUUGUAUGAAGGACGUCCAUGUAUAUUGAAGUAUGAAAGUAUGCCAUGGAAAGUCAAUAUUACCAUUAGACAAAUGGUGGAUCAAAGGAAUUCUAUUCUAUUGUUGUUUGGAAUUUUAGAGGAAGUGAAUAGAUUGAAAAUUAAGAGGAUAAUUGCAUUUGUAGUAAAUUGAAUUUACACUUUUAAAUUGUGUUUUGCUGCACUAUUUUCUUCCCAGCCACAUACCCGUUUUAGAAACCAUGCUUUGCAUCUAAGCAAAAUGUAAUUUAUUCAUUUCAAGCUAUGAUUUGUGAUUCCAGAUUA